rnacentral:rRNA from 1 species
CCUACGGGCGGCAGCAGUAGGGAAUAUUGCUCAAUGGGGGAAACCCUGAAGCAGCAACGCCGCGUGGAGGAUGAAGGUUUUCGGAUUGUAAACCCCUUUUGUUAGAGAAGAUAAUGACGGUAUCUAACCAAUAAUCACCGGCCAACUCCGUCCCAGCAGCCGUGGUAAUACGGCGGGUGCAAGCGUUACUCGGAAUCACUGGGCGUAAAGAGCGCGUAGGCGGGAUAGCAAGUCAGAUGUGAAAUCCUAUGGCUUAACCAUAGAACUGCAUUUGAAACUGUUAUUCUAGAGUGUGGGAGAGGUAGGUGGAAUUCUUGGUGUAGGGGUAAAAUCCGUAGAGAUCAAGAGGAAUACUCAUUGCGAAGGCGACCAGCUAGAACAUAACUGACGCUGAUGCGCGAAAGCGUGGGGAGCAAACAGGAUUAGAUACCCCAGUAGUC